UUGAAUCCUUAGGAUGUUGCUGGCCUUUCGGGGCAUGUGCACUCCGCCUUUCAAUACACCUGUGAACUUAUUGUAGGUGCAGACGUGCCUAUGUUUUUAACACACUCUCAAAAUGUAUACCGAAUGUCUAAAUGUGGCCUUUGAUGGUCAACAAACUUAAUA
rnacentral:misc_RNA from 1 species